GCAGGUAUAGCUCAGUGGUAGAGCGUGUGCUUAGCACGCACAAGGUCCUGGGUUCGAUUCCUGGUACCGCCA
rnacentral:tRNA from 1 species